GUUUGUGUCGACAUGUCCUGUGUUUUACCGUCAAAACAACGCUCGUCGUCAGCAUUACCCGCUCUCGGGGUUCCUCUGAAGAAUGAGUACAGUGUUUCAGUUCAGUGGUAUAGUGUUUCAGUUUCCGUGAAAGGAAGAGAGAUAAUGCACAUCCAACUAAAUCCCACUGGAAUGCUUGUCAGGAGCCAUGAGACUGAAAGCUAAAACUUCAGCAAGAUGCACAAUGCUGGAGGUAAAAGAAGUGGGGAAAAUACUGACAUGGACAACAAGAUCAGUGACUGUUAAGUUACAGUGGACCAUGCCAUAAGAUUGCAUUCCAAUGCUGUUGUGUUUUCUCUCAGUGGGGUGAUGUAAUUGGAUUGUGAAAAAAAAUAAUAGUCAGCUAUUGUCUGUAAUAUCAACUGUGUGUCAAUACUAGGUAAUCUUGCCAAGGCAAGUAAAAAACGUCAGCAAUUAAUUGGUUCUUUCCCUUUAGGCUAGAAAAGGCCUUAGAAACACUUAUUUUUUCUAGUUUAAUUUCCAUGCUGCAGUGCUCAUGCCUGAAUGUAACAAAGCUUGAUGGGACAUGUUUCGUAUAACUAUAAUUGUACAGCAGCAGUCACAUCUAAAUACUUCUAUUUUAAGGGGUGCAGCGAUGGUCUGUCAUUUGCAAACCCAUGCAUGAGCACCCACACGAACACGUUUUAUUUCAACAUCUGAAAAUUGGGGGAAGAAAAAACUGAGCAGCAAUUAUUUUUUAAAAAAUAUUUUAAUGCACCAUUAAUAAAGGGUCCAACGCAUUAAUACAAGAGAAAUAUUGCAAAUAAUAUUAAAACUUUAAAUCAAAUUAAAAGAAAAAAAAAACAACAAAAACAAAAAUAACUGAAUGAUAGGUAUGUACAAUUAUUUUCUUGCAAUGGGAAGUAGGAAAAGGAUGAACAUAUUUACAGACUAGAACCAGUGUGUUUCUACGAGAAACAAACACCUCUACAAUAUUUACAUGUAAUUCUUUUUAACUUUUUUGUCAUUUUCGUUUUUUUAUGGUUACACUUCUGUGGAUCAGUUUUUACUGAAAGACUGCAGUAAAAUCUACAUAUUUUACAGGGUUUCCUCUCAAAAGGAACAGAAUGCUGGCAAGGCCCUCUUACAAAGUGUGGGGAAAAAAAGGGGGGAAAACAAUGUAAUGUCAUGUCAACAUGUCACUUUAUGGCAGAGCGGAGCAGAGAGAGAGAGAGAGAGAGAGACGACCAGUAAUAUGAAAGGACAGAACAGCAGGAACAGACAUGACCAUCUGUUCUAGUGAAUCUCUGCACAUGCACAUCUCUCAGAGGAAUUGGGACUUUCAUUUUGUGGUGAAAUAUAUAAAUACGCAUACCCUAUUUUGGAUCUUGGACUCUUAGAAAAUGAGUUAUGAGGAAAUACAUAUUUUACGUUUAUAUUCUCCUUAGCACUAGCAGAGGAGUUAGUGCGCUGUCUCUCAAAACGUAUGCCCGAUUCCUCCACAAUUCUUCAGUGGUCUACAAUAAUAUCAAUGCCAAAAGAAAACAAUGCAUAUUGCCAUCCUUUUGCUAAAAUAUCAAUGUGCAUAUAUUUCAGCACGCCAAAAAGACGACCUUAUCUGUCCUGUUCUUCUCGUAUUGCUAAAAACUAUGAACGAAAGGGAUAUCACUUCAUGUAAGGGGUGAAUUAAAAUGAUGGCAGGUACAUGAUAACUUCUGAUAACUGUUUUUACAGUGUACUAGCAUUGUAACAACUAAUUUGUGAAAAAUAGAAUAAAUGUACAAUGUAACAACUUACAAUACUAGACCAUUUUUGAAUACCAGCACAUUAUGCUGGAAAAGGAGACAUUUAAUUAAGAUCGGUUGAACUUUGAGGAAGUUUCAAAAGAAAUGUGGAGAUACUAUGCAGACAAUCUGAAGAAUGUACAGCAACAGAUCUGACCUAAAUAAACGACAUGAGCGAACAGGCCUCAGAACAGGGACAAUAAAUAAUGAACUAAAAUUAUUACUCUCUCUCACGACAGGGGUGAAGUCUUAAAUCCAUGUUUUUAGGUAGGACUUUAAAAGUUGCCCUUGGAAAAAAGACCCAGCACUUUAAAGGUGUUUGCCACUGUCAGACGUUGUGCAUAAGUGAGCAGAAUGUGUGUGUGUGUGUGUGUGCAGAUGCUGAACAACUUCAAAGCAUAGACCUUGGCAAAAUAACACUAUCAAACACAGCUGCAACAGGAGGAACAAAACUGAUAAGGGCCAGGUCAGGAGAAAGAAAAA